rnacentral:rRNA from 1 species
CCCUUAGAUGUUCUGGGCUGCACGCGCGCUACACUGAAGCGUUCAACGAGUAUUCACCUUGCCCGGGAGGGUUGGGUAAUCUUUUGAAAACGCUUCGUGAUGGGGAUAGAUUAUUGCAAUUAUUAAUCUUCAACGAGGAAUUCCUAGUAAGCGCGAGUCAUCAGCUCGUGCUGAUUACGUCCCUGCCCUUUGUACACACCGCCCGUCGCUCCUACCGAUUGAGUGGUCCGGUGAGGCCUUGGGAGGGCCAGGCGGACUGUGUUUCACAGACCAUCUGGCCCAAACUUGGUCAAACCUUAUCACUUAGAGGAAGGAGAAGUCGUAACA